rnacentral:rRNA from 1 species
ACGUAGGGGGCGAGCGUUGUCCGGAAUUACUGGGCGUAAAGGGUGCGUAGGUGGUUGCCUAAGUCAGAUGUGAAAUCCCCGGGCUUAACUCGGGUGUUGCAUUUGAAACUGGGCGACUAGAGUGCAGGAGAGGGAAGCGGAAUUCCUAGUGUAGCGGUUAAAUGCGUAGAUAUUAGGAGGAACACCAGUGGCGAAGGCGGCUUUCUGGACUGUAACUGACACUGAGGCACGAAAGCGUGGGGAGCAAACAG